rnacentral:snRNA from 2 species
AUGCUCACUUCAACAGCACAUAUGCUGAUAUUGGAAUGAUACAGAGAAGGUUAAUGUGACCCCUGUGCAAUCAUGACACAUAAAUUUGUGAAGUGUUCCAAUUUUUU